UACAGAGGUGGCAAGCGUUGUUCGGAAUUACUGGGCGUAAAGGGCGCGUAGGCGGUCUUGCAAGUCCCGUGUGAAAUCCCUCGGCUCAACUGAGGAAUCGCACGGGAAACUGCUUGGCUUGAGAUCGGGAGAGGGAAGCGGAAUUCCGGGUGUAGCGGUGAAAUGCGUAGAUAUCCGGAGGAACACCGGUGGCGAAGGCGG
rnacentral:rRNA from 1 species